rnacentral:rRNA from 1 species
UACGUAGGGUGCAAGCGUUAAUCGGAAUUACUGGGCGUAAAGGGCGCGUAGGCGGCAAAUUAAGUCAGCUGUGAAAUCUCCGAGCUUAACUCGGAACGGUCAGCUGAUACUGAUCUGCUAGAGUGCGGAAGGGGCAAUCGGAAUUCUUGGUGUAGCGGUGAAAUGCGUAGAUAUCAAGAGGAACACCUGAGGUGAAGACGGGUUGCUGGGCCGACACUGACGCUGAGUGCGCGAAAGCCAGGGGAGCAAACGGG